AUUGAACGCUGGCGGCAGGCUUAACACAUGCAAGUCGAGCGGAGAUGAGGUGCUUGCACCUUAUCUUAGCGGCGGACGGGUGAGUAAUGCUUAGGAAUCUGCCUAUUAGUGGGGGACAACAUUCCGAAAGGAAUGCUAAUACCGCAUACGUCCUACGGGAGAAAGCAGGGGAUCUUCGGACCUUGCGCUAAUAGAUGAGCCUAAGUCGGAUUAGCUAGUUGGUGGGGUAAAGGCCUACCAAGGCGACGAUCUGUAGCGGGUCUGAGAGGAUGGUCCGCCACACUGGGAAGGAGACACGGCCCGGACUCCUACGGGAGGCAGCAGUGGGGAAUAUUGGACAAUGGGGGAAACCCUGAUCCAGCCAUGCCGCGUGUGUGAAGAAGGCCUUAUGGUUGUAAAGCACUUUAAGCGAGGAGGAGGCUACUGAGACUAAUACUCUUGGAUAGUGGACGUUACUCGCAGAAUAAGCACCGGCUAACUCUGUGCCAGCCGCCGCCGUAA
rnacentral:rRNA from 1 species